GAUGAACGCUGACAGAAUGCUUAACACAUGCAAGUCGAUUCGAAUUACUCUUCGGGGUAAGGAGGAUGGCGGACGGGUGAGUAACGCGUAAGGAACUUGCCUCUUGGACUGGGACAACUGUUGGAAACGACAGCUAAUACCGGAUAUUAUGAGAUUCACACAUGUGCAACUCAUGAAAGCUAUAUGCGCCAAGAGAGAGCCUUGCGUUCCAUUAGCUAGUUGGUGGGGUAAUGGCCCACCAAGGCGACGAUGGAUAGCCGGCCUGAGAGGGUGAACGGCCACAAGGGGACUGAGACACGGCCCUUACUCCUACGGGAGGCAGCAGUGGGGAAUAUUGGACAAUGGACCGAAAGUCUGAUCCAGCAAUUCUGUGUGCACGAUGAAGGUCUUCGGAUUGUAAAGUGCUUUCAGUUGGGAAGAAGAAAGUGACGGUACCAACAGAAGAAGCGACGGCUAAAUACGUGCCAGCCGCCGCCGUAA
rnacentral:rRNA from 1 species